rnacentral:rRNA from 1 species
AUUGUCUAAGAUAAGCCAUGCACGUCUAGUACAAACUAAAUGAUGGUGAAACUGCAAAUGGCUCAUUACAACGGUUAUGAUGUACCCGGGAGUUCCGAUGGAUAUUUCCAGUAACACUAGAACUAAUACAUGUCCCUGCGUUUAUUAGUUUCGCACAGUCCGUCGCUGAGUCAUGGUAAACAGUUGAUCGACUCGACGUCCCGGAACAGUUUCCGCCCCAUCAGCUUCGAUGGUUGGGUAUUGGCCUACCAUUGCAACAACGGGUAACGAGGAAUUAGGGUUUGAUUUCGGAGAGGGAGCCUGAGAAACGGCUACCACAUCUACGGAUGGCAGCAGGCGCGCAAAUUACCCAAUGCAGACACUGUGAGGUAGUGACGAGAAAUAAUAAAGCGGGACUUCUGUUUCGCUAUUAUAAUGAGGAAUAACCAAAGGUCAUUCCGAUUAGCAACUGAUGGGAAAGUCUGGUGCCAGCAGCCGCGGUAAUACCAGCGUCAGUAGCA